GAUGAACGCUGGCGGCGUGCCUAAUCCAUGCAAGUCGAGCGAACAGAUGAGAAGCUUGCUUCUCUGAUGUUAGCGGCGGACGGGUGAGUAACACGUGGGUAACCUACCUAUAAGACUGGGAUAACUCCGGGAAACCGGGGCUAAUACCGGAUAAUAUUUUGAACCGCAUGGUUCAAUAGUGAAAGACGGUUUCGGCUGUCACUUAUAGAUGGACCCGCGCCGUAUUAGCUAGUUGGUAAGGUAACGGCUUACCAAGGCGACGAUACGUAGCCGACCUGAGAGGGUGAUCGGCCACACUGGAACUGAGACACGGUCCAGACUCCUACGGGAGGCAGCAGUAGGGAAUCUUCCGCAAUGGGCGAAAGCCUGACGGAGCAACGCCGCGUGAGUGAUGAAGGUCUUCGGAUCGUAAAACUCUGUUGUUAGGGAAGAACAAACUUGUUAGUAACUGAACAAGUCUUGACGGUACCUAACCAGAAAGCCACGGCUAACUACGUGCCAGCCGCCGCAGUAA
rnacentral:rRNA from 1 species